rnacentral:rRNA from 1 species
UACGUAGGUGGCAAGCGUUGUUCGGAAUUACUGGGCGUAAAGCGCGCGUAGGCGGCUCUUCAAGUCAGGCGUGAAAUCCCCGGGCUUAACCUGGGAACUGCAUUUGUGACUGCAUGGCUAGAGUACGGUAGAGGGGGAUGGAAUUCCGCGUGUAGCAGUGAAAUGCGUAGAUAUGCGGAGGAACACCGAUGGCGAAGGCAAUCCCCUGGACCUGUACUGACGCUCAUGCACGAAAGCGUGGGGAGCAAACAGG